rnacentral:antisense_RNA from 1 species
GUGGUUAGCAUUCGUCGCCAACGAGAAAUUGGGGUCGGCCCGAAAGCUCUAGAAUGCACCCCCCUUCUUCCCCGGGGCCUUCCACCUCCGCGAGUUUUAUGACUUAAAAAACCCCACAGGCUGGUCUGAAGGUCGGAGGCCUAAUUUUAACGCGUUUUCCUCCCUUUAAUUUGAAACGCGAACGCGAAUGGCUGUAAAAUAGGAAGACAAACAUAAAGAUGAAGUGCUUAAUUCAAGGUCACACAAUGUCGGGGAUGGACCUCCAGAUUUCCUUACUGACCUGCAUUAUCUUGUGGAUACCUGAGUGAAUUCCACACCACCCAUUUUAUAGAUGAAACCACUGAGACAUGGAGCAACUGACUGAGUAGUCACUGCCCCACCCCUGCCUGGAGCCUCACACAUGACUCGUCUCCUCUCAGUGACCACAGGUUGGUUGAGGGGUUUAACAAGGCUAAGAAGUACUUAUCCUGUAUUACAUGAAGGAAAUGAAAUAAAAAGACUGCAACCCCACUCCCAGCUACUCAGUGAGGUGGUAGCUAGAGACGGAGUCUUGCUAUGUUGCCCAGGCUGGUCUUGAACUCCUCACCUCAAGCGAUCCUCUCGUCUUGGCCUCCCAAGUGUCAGGAUUACAGGCAUGUGCUAUCACACCCAACCUGAUACAUUGCCUUUAUAAAUUUUUUUUUCUUUAUUCUAAAAACCAGAAAAAACAAAACUGGAUACAUGUGCAGAACAUGCAGACCAAGUGUGUUGGGGACUUGAGAUGCGUACAUGAGUGUUUGUGAUGUUUCCUGCCGAAAGCACAGGUGAGACGUGGUCUUGUAACACAGUGGUUAAGAAUGUGACUUUGGAGCCAGCCUGCUAGGGGCUGAAUUCUGACUCAGCCAUUUACUAACUGUGUGACCUUAGGGAGGAGGACCUGGUUGAUAGAAGAAUUUAUCUCGUAGUCUUAACAUCCACUGUAAUUCCAAACUUUGAGGACGAUAGAGAUCAGUGGGCUUUGACUGCCCAGCAUGCAGUCUCCAUU